rnacentral:lncRNA from 1 species
GAAAUGGCUACAUUUAAAACAUGCACUUUGAAGCAUUCAAACUUUCAGUUGAUUUACCCGAACUGUCUCAAUGUUCCUGCCAUUCACGUCCUGCCAAAUGUUCUUUUGUUGGUUCUUUGAGAAAUGAAUGCUGUCUUCUGCAGCAGGACCAGUGUCUUCAUGCGACGUCAUUGUUUAUUUCAUUGUUUUGAUUUUACCUCUCCACUUCCCCCAAGUGUAAAUAUAGUUUUAUAAUUUCAUUUAUGCUUAUGGCUUUGUGUGUUCCUUCUAGGAAUAAUACGUGGGGAAACAAAGCAAAGUAAACUAUAGCUUCUAAGUAAACAUUGCUAGGAAUUAAGAAGACUAAGAAAUAUGAACUCUGAAACAGUUUGAUUCUUACCAUCCCUCCUAUUUUGAAGAACACAUAGCAUCAUGUGUAAUUCUAUUGAGAAAAUUGUUGGCUCUGUGUGGUAAAACUCUUGACAUUAACUAACGUCUUACAUGUCUAGAGAUACGACUUUGAGUAACUUUUCCUUUCCUUAGAGGAAAUUAAGCAAGCUGAGUCUAGUCUAAAGAUACGAUGUUCCAUAAUACCUUAACCUACUUCAUACUGGUUAGAAAUUAUUCUUUCUUGAAAUACUUACCAAACAUUAUUGCUAAUUUUAAGAGAAGUAAAUGGAGAUUUUUUUAAUGUGUGACUUUGGGCAAGAUGGUAGACUUGACAAAGCCGAGCAUUAACUCGGUUUCUCUCGUCUUUUAAUUUUACAUCCCUAAUGUGUGACUUUGGGCAAGGUGGUAGACUUGACAAAGCCAAGCAUUAACUUGGAUUCUCUCGUCUUUCUAUUUUACAUCCCUCUCCAUGUGCCUUUAAAUUCCACUGAAGUGUGUCCCGUCUUAUCUGUUUAUCUCCAUUAAUUUCAGUAUCUUUACCUAAUGAAAGGAUUAACGUCAUAGUUGUGAUACUGCUAAAAUCAUAAUUAAUUUAGGCUAUGGAUAGCAUUAUGGAAAUCAGAAAUAUGUCCGCUUUACUCAUUGCUUGAAAAAGACAACACUUCUUUAAUAGUAGGAAGGAUACAAUUUAUUUCUUCUUGGGAGAAGAGAAAAGAGAUGAAGCUCGAUUUUUUCCUAUGCCGGUGCCUGAUUCGGAAAUGCUAAUGAAGUUUGUUAAAAUGGUUCUACACGUAAGAAAAGUUCUAUAAAUCUAACAACAUAUUUAGCAUUGUAUAAAAAGAAAGAGAAGGUCAAAAAAUAGCGCAAAUUCAAGUGCUAUCCUAAAAAUAGUAUUUCAGAGAAAUCACUUGCGCUUUAAUAUUUAGAAAGGUCUAACUCAUUCACAGCAAGUAAAUGUUAAUAAAAAACUUCCAUGCUGUGCUUAAGUGAAACUCAAAAACUAUGUAACAUAACGUAUUUCUAAGUCAGACUGAAGUCCAGCAUUAAUGCAUGCUUUAUUUUCAAACUAGCGAUACAAAAACAUAAAUGCAAAAUUAAAAUACUGUUUUACUGACUGCCUCAUCUAGCAAAUUGUUUUGCUCCAAGGGAGCAAAUAAAAUGUGUGGGUUUUGUGGUACUUUCUUUUUGAUCUCUUCGUAACAUUUUAAGCUACUUUAGUAUCACUACUGCUUUAAUAUUACCGCUAAAGUAGUAAAAUCAUACUGAACAGUGUCACUUUAGACUUAGAUUUGAGGGUGAUCAUCUAUGCAUAAGGUCAUUAAAAUGUUACGGUUUUUUGUUGUUGAUGUUGUUUUGUCUUUUGUCUUUUUCUAGGACCGCAUCUACCCGCAGCAUAUAGAGGUUCCCAGGCUAGGGGUCUAAUCAGAGCUCUAGCUGCCAGCCUACACCACAGCCACUGCAAUGCUGGAUCCAAGCCGCAUCUUCAACCUCCACCACAGCUCACGGCAAUGCCAGAUCCUUAACCCACUAAGCAAGGCCAGGGAUCAAACCUGCGUCCUCAUGGAUGCUAGUCAGAUUCAUUAACUGCUGAGCCACGACGGAACUCCUAAAUACAGAAGAGGAGACAAAACUAUUGAGCUGGUAGAGAGGGGCAGAGACCUUGAAGAUGUAAGAACAAAAAGGAAUCAAUUGAUGCAGGAAUGUCUUGGAGAUGGAUAGGAAAGGCUACUGGUCAUGGGAACCAGAGGAUAAGUAUAGAAAUUAACCUUGACUAGAAGGAGAAAUACAUCAUUUGCAUAGAAAACACUUCAGUAUGGAUGGAUUUGGAGGUGAAUGUUACCUUGCAGGAAUGUCAGUAGAAUAAUUUGAAAAAAAAAAAAAGUCAAACACAUUAUCAUGUUGGUACUAUUUAAAUCAUCAUCUACUUAAAAUAUCUACAUAAGAAACAAAAAGGGAGUUUUCUAGGAACAUGCAGUUGUAUGUAAGAGAACAGAAGACUAAGCCAGAAAUAAGACUUUACUUUUCAAGAUAUUUGGAAUAGAGAAGCAGGCUGGAAAUAGGAAAGGAAUGAAAUAGGUUGAUACUUUUAUUGAUUAAAAAGUUUAAGGACUUUUCUUUGUCAUCAUCAUUGUUGUUGUUGGGGCAUUUCAGAAGGAACAUUGAGAGCAUGAAAAAAUAAAGAUUUCAAUAAAAAUGGUACACAUGCAAUUUUAGAUAUAUAGAAUUUUAAAAUAGUUUAACUUGCUUUUCCCUUACACAAAUUCUUGUGCAUGACUUUCCUCCAAUCAACUACAAGUACUUUAGAGAGAAUUAGGAUUAAAAAGAAAAGGAAAAAGCAGUAGACAUCUUUGCCUUUCAAAUCGCCUUGUGCAACUCAUUUCAUUGAUGGACACGCUUUUCAUUUACAAAAGGAGAGAUAGUCAAGAAGAAAAAAUAGGAUAAGGAUCAAGGACCAAAAAGCUCUGAAGGAACUUAACUUUAUUCAUAAACAUAAUUUUAAAAGGUAGCUGGAGAGCAAUAUUUUAUAAUCAUCCUUUGAUAGUGUUAGUUCUGGCUGAAAAGUCAGAAAAACCCAAAAGGCAGAAGCAGGGAAAGCUUCUGCAGCCUAAGUAGACUAUUCUUGUUAGGAAAUUUCCACUUCCUCCAAGAGCAAGUACUGUCUACACCAGCCCCAGUAAGAGGGGGCCAUUGCCUGUGCUGAGGAGCUAUGUAAGCAGUCCUUUAUAACUCAGGUGGGAAGGGGAAAGUAGCCUCUGCAGAUACCUACCCAUCUUUGGCAAGGUAGGUUCGCACAAGUAUUCCCAAUGAGCAAGCUGACAUUUAAUGCCCUAAGACAUUCACAUGCUCUCCAAAUAGGAUAAGGUCCUGGAAAACCAGAGAGUCACUUGAAGGUUGAAGGAAGGACAAAUCUUCGCAUGCCCCUGGACUUGGAUGAGGAUAAGCAGAGCCAGUACCAGGGUCCCCCCUGCCCUCAAACAGGAGCAGUGUUGAAGUCUAUUCCACUUUUACAAAAGAAGGAGUUUGAUGAAAAAAGAUCUUAGGAGGGACAAUGUAAUCAGAGCAAAGCUAUAUGCCAAGUCACACAGGGGAAGUAGGAGUGCAUCUUCAGAGGUGGAAGAGAAUCAAGGGGAAUUAAAACAGCAAGGAACAAAUAAGAAAAAGGAGGGAGCUAACUAGACUCCAACAGUAUUCACAUAAAUAUGAGACUAGACAAUUUAUGAGAAGAUAGUAUUGGGAGAAUGGUGGAUUUGUGUUUUGGGGUUUGAGAAAUUUGGAGAAUCUUUGAAACAGGUCUGUGGGUAGUGUGACAUGCUUUAAAUAGGACAUAUUACAGAGGCCCAGCUAAACCAAAUUUGUAGUUUAGGAUAUCAAUCAAUUACCAAAUUAUAGCAACAUUCACUAUGGUUCAAUUUAUUUUGGUUUAAUUUAUUUCCCCAGUAACAGAUGUCCAUGUUAUUUGCUAGUUGCCAAACCACAUGAAUCUGUUUUGAUAAUAAUUGUGGAGCUUACUUAGAGAGAUGAUUUGUUUUAUUAGACAUACACUGAAUAUUUAAAUGUCACAAAAUAUAAAUUUUUUUUUAAACUAAGGCUACAGAAUUCCAGUGAAAUUACUCAAACUUCUCCCAUCUGUUAUAUAAAAUGUAAUCCAGGCUUAAAAAAUUUCAGUGUAUGUAAACACUUGACUUCCAACAUUUGCCUAUAUACUCUGAUUUACUAAAUUGUUACAUUAAAUGAACAUAAAGGAUAAAAUGAAAAUGGAACCAGCAGGAAUAGACAACUUUUAUGAGCUCGGAGAGUCAUUAUAUAGAAAUGUCAAGCUGACCACCUACUGAAAGUGGCUGGAACCCUCACUUAUUUCUAAAUGUCACCAACUUCUCAAAAUAAACACUAUGGAUUGAUGUACUAGCAGUCUUAUAUGAUGUUCUUUUAAAGUUAUCCAUAUUUUUUUUCGCUCCAAACUUCAAGUGACAAUGCAUUUUAUUUUGUUUUCUUCCUUGCAGCGAGUAUGUUACAACACUCUGGCUUUCCUCACCUAGACGAACUUUCUUUGGAGCAGGCUCCUUCAGGGACCCCUUCCCAUCCUUCGAGGCCCACUCCAGCUCAACAUGAAAAGGGUAAAAGCUUUGACGUCGGAAAACUCAAGUUCAGAAUCUGCCCUUUGCUAGUUCUGUGGUCCUUGAAUAAUUCUCACUCAAUCUGGGCUACAGUUUCCUCCUCUGAAAAGUAGAUUCUAUUUGUCCUUCAACUGUUAACAUUCUGUGAUUCGAACACCUAACCCAUUAAUACUAAGAAGCUCGGAGAAGCAAGCAAUAGCAGAUAAUACAACCAAAUUAGGAUCAAAAAGGAUGCGAAAACUGUCAUAGAAAGGAAACCUAGGCUUCUACAACUAAUACUUUUCAACCAGAUUCUGCAUAUAUUUCCUAUUUGGGGGUUCACAUUUCCAUGUAUGUGAGACUACAAUUGAUAAUAUCAGAAAUAUUUGUGCAUAUAUGUGUGUGUUUAUAUUAAAUAUAUAUAUAUAAUCAAGAAAUCAUCUUAUAAUUUAUUUUUGAAGUCAAAAGGGAUUCACAAAGUACUGGUUGACAAUGUUAAGAUUUGCUUACUUGAUAAACUAUAUUCAAUCAUAUGAUUGCUAGGAAAGCAGUCAUAUAAAAAUAUCUGAUAUGGAGUUCCCACUGUGGCUCAGUGGUAACGAACCCAGUUGCUAUCUGUGAGGAUGCAUGUUCAAUCCCUGGCCUCCCUCAGUGAUUAAGGAUCUGGUAUUGCUGUGAGCUGCGGUGUUGGUUGCACAUGCGGCUUGGAUCUGGCAUUGCUGUAGUGUAGGCCAGCAGCUACAGCUCCAAUUCAACCCCUUGCCUGGAAACUUCCAAAUGCCCUUUGUGUGGCUCUAAAAAGACCAAGAAAAAAAAAUCAGAUAUGUCAUUUGUAUAAAAAUAUGCUUUAAAUCACAAGAACAAAUUAGUGCUAAAAAUUUUUUAUGAUUCUUAAAUAUUUAAAAUUAUUUUGGUGAAAGUACAUGCCUUUUAGGAAAUUACAAUAAAUGUGCAUUUACAUCUGAUAUUAAACUAUUUUGUUUAGUAUUGAGGGAAUGUUCAGAGUCUUUUUCCAAAAUAAUCAAGUUCAAUGAAUUUAGUUUCUGUAAAACAUACCAAUUAUAUGCUCAUGUGCAUACACAAAUGUAGGUAAAAUAAGUGAUACCACCAUAAACUUUUCUUCAAACGCCUGUAACUUAAUAUUUCAUCAAUGAUUUAGUAUUUCCAUAUAUGAAAAUGUAUUUUAGAGUGAAAAUUGAAUUACAAAUUUUUUUUUAAAUGUACAGCUUUUGGACCUUAUAAAUGCAUAAAAGCUAUAUGCAAGGCCAAAGGCUAAUUUAUAAAGAUCACUAAGGUAAAAUUGAGCAGGAGAAAUCAAAUCAAUUCUAAGAAUCAUUAUGCACUGAUAAGAUAUUGACUAAACCACUGUCUCAAAAUUAGAGAAACUUGUUAUAUCAUCUCGUACUUCAUUGACUUCAUGUGCAUUUACAUUUUGUGGGGUCCUGUACAUAAAGACGACUUGGUACAUUAAUUCUCUAAGCCUUUCUUAUUUCAGUAAAAAUUAUUCAGAAUUGAGUUACUGACUAGAUUUUUUUAAAAUCAUAUUAAUACAGAAUAUCCCAAUAAAGAGCCAUUUACAAAAGAGUAUAAAUUUUAUUAUGAUUUUUGGAGUAUGCAAACACUAUCUCACAAACAAGCUUCACUUUUUUCCAUUCCUCAGUAGGUCAAAUGACAUGUGAAUUGCACAUCCAUCUUUCUACGGAUUCUAUUACACGUCCCCGGAGAGUCCACUCUCCCAUUCACAAAGAAGUUUAUUUCAUACUGUCUUGCCUCUCCUCGAAUUUCCGGCACUGACACCUCCUCCUCACUCUCAGAUGAUAACUACACUCAUUUUUCACUGAGCAACUGAAGCAACAAAAACAGCAGUUCUACUCUUCUCACCUCAUCUGCUGUCAUGCCUGUGUUUAUCUAUGAAUGCUCAAGUUUCAUUCUCUUACAAUAGAUGAAAAGUCUCUGUAUCAACUUAAGGUCAAUCCAUUCAUUUAUGUGCAUUU